UUCCAGCUCCAAUAGCGUAUAUUAAAUUUGCUGCAGUUAAAAAGCUCGUAGUUGGAUUUGUGGUGUGGUGCGUCUGGAGCCAGCGUAGUAUUCAACGGCCAGAGGUGAAAUUCUUGGAUUCGUUGAAGACUAACUUAUGCGAAAGCAUUCACCAAGGACGUCUUCUUUAAUCAAGAACGAAAGUUGGGGGAUCGAAGACGAGCAGAUACCGUCGUAGUCUCAACUAUAAACGAUGCCAACUAGGGAUACG
rnacentral:rRNA from 1 species